rnacentral:rRNA from 1 species
AUACGUAGGGGGCGAGCGUUGUCCGGAAUGAUUGGGCGUAAAGGGCGCGUAGGCGGCCCGGUAAGUCUGGAGUGAAAGUCCUGUUUUUAAGAUGGGAAUUGCUUUGGAUACUGUCGGGCUUGAGUGCAGGAGAGGUAAGUGGAAUUCCCAGUGUAGCGGUGAAAUGCGUAGAGAUUGGGAGGAACACCAGUGGCGAAGGCGACUUACUGGACUGUAACUGACGCUGAGGCGCGAAAGUGUGGGGAGCAAACAGGAUUAGAUACCCUGGUAGUCCACACUGUAAACGAUGAAUGCUAGGUGUAGGGGGUAUCGACCCCUUCUGUGCCGCAGUCAACACAAUAAGCAUUCCGCCUGGGGAGUGCGGCCGCAAGGUUGAAACUCAAAGGAAUUGACGGGG